rnacentral:rRNA from 1 species
GAUGAACGCUGGCGGCGUGCCUAAUACAUGCAAGUCGAACGCUGGAAAUCUAGCUUGCUAGCUUGAAGGAGUGGCGAACGGGUGAGUAAUACAUAAGCAACCUACCCACGAAGACUGGGAUAAUCUCUGGAAACGGGGACUAAUACCGGAUAGGUAAUCGGAAGGCUUCUUCUGAUUAUUAAAGGUUAAAAACACUGGUGGAUGGGCUUAUGGCGCAUUAGUUAGUUGGUGAGGUAAAGGCCCACCAAGACGAUGAUGCGUAGCCGGCCGGAGAGGGGGAACGGCGAGAUUGGGACUGAGACCCGGCCCAGACUCGUACGGGAGGCAGCAGUAGGGAAUUGUCGGCAAGGGGGGAGACCCUGACCGGGCGACGCCGGGUGAGUGAUGACGGCCUUCGGGUUGUAAAGCUCUGUUGUAGGGGAAGAACGGUAGAUAGAGAAUAUCUAAAUGACGGUACCUUACCAGAAAGCCACGGCUAACUACGUG